rnacentral:rRNA from 1 species
UCAACAAAGUGAACGAUGAAUCGGUGAAGUAUUUCGAUACCUCAAGCGAGUUCAGACAAGCGGCCGACUUCAUGGAACAGACCGUAAGCGGCAUGACCACCAUCAGCAUUGCUGUUAAGACUAACGAGUCUCAAGCGAUUGCCGAUCCUGUGUUUUUGCAAGCGAUUGGUGACUUUACUGAGUGGCUACGCGUCAACCAG